rnacentral:lncRNA from 1 species
AAAUUUUUCAUCUAAUUUGACAGUUGUCAUGUUCAUAUAAGUUUCUUUGGUUCAAGCAGACAAUCUGUGCUCGUACUCUUUUAGCGGAUUCAUGUAUUCCUUUCAUUGGCUGUAUUUCAUUGAUUUGAUAUCAUUUCUGAUUUGUUGAAAUGUAUUUUGCUCUAAAGAGUAGUCUAGUAUUUUUGUCAUCUCUUAUUUUAAAUCUAGUCUAUUUUAUAGGCAAAAUUUAUAAGUACUUCAGAUCAGAUAGUUAAAUUUGGGGCACACCCAAAAAAAGUGGGUUAGUGAUUAGUUUAUGGCAAUGAACAUAAACUGUCCUCUCUAGUAUAUAACUUAAUAUCUGGACCUCGGAGUCCAGAUGUCAUUACACUGUCAUUUUAAUUGUUUGAAAGACAAUAUAACCAUAUUUAAUGUUACUAUAAUAUAACCAAUUUGUAUAACCCAACUAAUAAAAUAAGUGGAUUAAAGGAACUUAUUCAAAACAACACAAUAUUGACAUAAUGUAGUUAAUUUUGGAAGUCCAAAUAUAAGCAUCACCCAAUGAACUGUCAACACGGAUGGAAUUUCCCCGUCCUAUUCAAAUAGUGAAGCUAGAUUGCCACCAACAUACAAGAGAAAGGUCCUAGAGAGAAACAGUGAAUGGUCCGGAAAAUGUGACAGGCCGUGUAAUUUGAGUUGCCUAUAUAAAUGGACCCGAUUGAAUCAGUAUUGACAGUUCGUUGAAUGUACCUCAUAUUUUAACUUUAAGGCUGAUUGGCAGUACAUAUUUCAAAAACUUAUAGUGAUCGAGAUCGUGUUUUGCAGGAUAAUAUUUUAGAUUCUGGUGACAUCAACUUAUCACAAUUACUAUACAGUGGAACCUCGAUUAUCCGUCUCUCCAUUAACCGUCUCCUCUGUUAACCGUCAGGGUACAUACAGACGUUGUAUUGACUACAUAAGCAAACAAUUUUAAUAAAUAAAUAAAUAGUUUAUUUACGGUUAUACCAAUUACAAUCAUUAAAUAAUUCAUAUAUUAACAGUUUUAGAACUCAAUAAUAAUUACAUACAAUUUACAUAA